CCUACGGGAGGCAGCAGUGGGGAAUAUUGCACAAUGGGCGCAAGCCUGAUGCAGCGACGCCGCGUGAGGGAUGGAGGCGUUCGGGUUGUAAACCUCUUUUGUUUGGGAGCAAGCCUUCGCGUGAGUGUACCUUUCGAAUAAGCACCGGCUAACUACGGUGCCAGCAGCCGCGGUAAU
rnacentral:rRNA from 1 species